rnacentral:rRNA from 2 species
GGGUUGUGAGGUUAAGCGACUAAGCGUACACGGUGGAUGCCCUGGCAGUCAGAGGCGAUGAAGGGCGUGCUAAUCUGCGAUAAGCGCCGGUAAGGUGAUAUGAACCGUUAUAACCGGCGAUACCCGAAUGGGGAAACCCAGUGUGACUCGUCACACUAUCAUUAACUGAAUCCAUAGGUUAAUGAGGCGAACCGGGGGAACUGAAACAUCUAAGUACCCCGAGGAAAAGAAAUCAACCGAGAUUCCCCCAGUAGCGGCGAGCGAACGGGGAGGAGCCCAGAGCCUGAAUCAGCAUGUGUGUUAGUGGAAGCGUCUGGAAAGGCGCGCGAUACAGGGUGACAGCCCCGUACACAAAAGCGCAUGUGCUGUGAGCUCGAUGAGUAGGGCGGGACACGUGGUAUCCUGUCUGAAUAUGGGGGGACCAUCCUCCAAGGCUAAAUACUCCUGACUGACCGAUAGUGAACCAGUACCGUGAGGGAAAGGCGAAAAGAACCCCGGCGAGGGGAGUGAAAAAGAACCUGAAACCGUGUACGUACAAGCAGUGGGAGCACCCUUUGGGGUGUGACUGCGUACCUUUUGUAUAAUGGGUCAGCGACUUAUAUUCUGUAGCAAGGUUAACCGAAUAGGGGAGCCGGAGGGAAACCGAGUCUUAAUUGGGCGUUAAGUUGCAGGGUAUAGACCCGAAACCCGGUGAUCUAGCCAUGGGCAGGUUGAAGGUUGGGUAACACUAACUGGAGGACCGAACCGACUAAUGUUGAAAAAUUAGCGGAUGACCUGUGGCUGGGGGUGAAAGGCCAAUCAAACCGGGAGAUAGCUGGUUCUCCCCGAAAGCUAUUUAGGUAGCGCCUCGUGAAUUCAUCUCCGGGGGUAGAGCACUGUUUCGGCUAGGGGGCCAUCCCGGCUUACCAACCCGAUGCAAACUGCGAAUACCGGAGAAUGUUAUCACGGGAGACACACGGCGGGUGCUAACGUCCGUCGUGAAGAGGGAAACAACCCAGACCGCCAGCUAAGGUCCCAAAGUCAUGGUUAAGUGGGAAACGAUGUGGGAAGGCCCAGACAGCCAGGAUGUUGGCUUAGAAGCAGCCAUCAUUUAAAGAAAGCGUAAUAGCUCACUGGUCGAGUCGGCCUGCGCGGAAGAUGUAACGGGGCUAAACCAUGCACCGAAGCUGCGGCAGCGAACGUAUCACUUAAAGCGAUUCAGCGGGUUACGAUUGACGGAGCGAAGCGACGUCAAAGCGUAUACAAAGUCGAGUCGGUUUAAGGAUACGUUCGUUGGGUAGGGGAGCGUUCUGUAAGCCUGUGAAGGUGGCCUGUGAGGGUUGCUGGAGGUAUCAGAAGUGCGAAUGCUGACAUAAGUAACGAUAAAGCGGGUGAAAAGCCCGCUCGCCGGAAGACCAAGGGUUCCUGUCCAACGUUAAUCGGGGCAGGGUGAGUCGACCCCUAAGGCGAGGCCGAAAGGCGUAGUCGAUGGGAAACAGGUUAAUAUUCCCGUACUUGGUGUUACUGCGAAGGGGGGACGGAGAAGGCUAUGUUGGCCGGGCGACGGUUGUCCCGGUUUAAGCGUGUAGGUGUGUGUUCCAGGUAAAUCCGGUUCACUUUAACACUGAGGCGUGAUGACGAGGCACUACGGUGCUGAAGCAACAAAUGCCCUGCUUCCAGGAAAAGCCUCUAAGCAUCAGGUAACAUCAAAUCGUACCCCAAACCGACACAGGUGGUCAGGUAGAGAAUACCAAGGCGCUUGAGAGAACUCGGGUGAAGGAACUAGGCAAAAUGGUGCCGUAACUUCGGGAGAAGGCACGCUGACACGUAGGUGAAGUGAUUUACUCAUGGAGCUGAAGUCAGUCGAAGAUACCAGCUGGCUGCAACUGUUUAUUAAAAACACAGCACUGUGCAAACACGAAAGUGGACGUAUACGGUGUGACGCCUGCCCGGUGCCGGAAGGUUAAUUGAUGGGGUCAGCGCAAGCGAAGCUCCUGAUCGAAGCCCCGGUAAACGGCGGCCGUAACUAUAACGGUCCUAAGGUAGCGAAAUUCCUUGUCGGGUAAGUUCCGACCUGCACGAAUGGCGUAAUGAUGGCCAGGCUGUCUCCACCCGAGACUCAGUGAAAUUGAACUCGCUGUGAAGAUGCAGUGUACCCGCGGCAAGACGGAAAGACCCCGUGAACCUUUACUAUAGCUUGACACUGAACAUUGAGCCUUGAUGUGUAGGAUAGGUGGGAGGCUUUGAAGUGUGGACGCCAGUCUGCAUGGAGCCGACCUUGAAAUACCACCCUUUAAUGUUUGAUGUUCUAACGUGGACCCGUAAUCCGGGUUGCGGACAGUGUCUGGUGGGUAGUUUGACUGGGGCGGUCUCCUCCUAAAGAGUAACGGAGGAGCACGAAGGUUGGCUAAUCCUGGUCGGACAUCAGGAGGUUAGUGCAAUGGCAUAAGCCAGCUUGACUGCGAGCGUGACGGCGCGAGCAGGUGCGAAAGCAGGUCAUAGUGAUCCGGUGGUUCUGAAUGGAAGGGCCAUCGCUCAACGGAUAAAAGGUACUCCGGGGAUAACAGGCUGAUACCGCCCAAGAGUUCAUAUCGACGGCGGUGUUUGGCACCUCGAUGUCGGCUCAUCACAUCCUGGGGCUGAAGUAGGUCCCAAGGGUAUGGCUGUUCGCCAUUUAAAGUGGUACGCGAGCUGGGUUUAGAACGUCGUGAGACAGUUCGGUCCCUAUCUGCCGUGGGCGCUGGAGAACUGAGGGGGGCUGCUCCUAGUACGAGAGGACCGGAGUGGACGCAUCACUGGUGUUCGGGUUGUCAUGCCAAUGGCACUGCCCGGUAGCUAAAUGCGGAAGAGAUAAGUGCUGAAAGCAUCUAAGCACGAAACUUGCCCCGAGAUGAGUUCUCCCUGAGACUUAGAGUCUCCUGAAGGAACGUUGAAGACGACGACGUUGAUAGGCCGGGUGUGUAAGCGCAGCGAUGCGUUGAGCUAACCGGUACUAAUGAACCGUGAGGCUUAACCUUACAACGCCGAAG